rnacentral:rRNA from 1 species
AGCCUGAACGCUGGCGGCGUGGCUAAGACAUGCAAGUCGAACGGAUGUAGCAAUACAUCAGUGGCGGACGGGUGAGUAAUGAAUCGCUAACGUACCCCGGAGCCUGGGAUAGCUGCCCGAAAGGGCAGGUAAUACCAGAUGAGACCACGAACAGGCAUCUGUUUGUGCUCAAAGCAGCAAUGCACUCUGGGAGCGGGCGUAGUUUCGUAAGU